UACGGAGGGCGCAAGCGUUGUUCGGAAUUACUGGGCGUAAAGCGCGUGUAGGCGGUCUAGCAAGUCGGUUGUGAAAUCCCCGGGCUCAACCCGGGAACUGCAUCCGAAACUGCUGGGCUAGAGUUCCGGAGAGGAAGGCAGAAUUCCCAAUGUAGGGGUGAAAUCCGUAGAUAUUGGGAGGAAUACCAGUGGCGAAGGCGGCCUUCUGGACGGUGACUGACGCUGAGACGCGAAAGCGUGGGGAGCAAACAGG
rnacentral:rRNA from 1 species